UACGGAGGGUGCAAGCGUUAUCCGGAUUCACUGGGUUUAAAGGGUGCGUAGGUGGGCAGGUAAGUCAGCGGUGAAAUCCCCGAGCUUAACUUGGGAACUGCCAUUGAUACUAUCUGUCUUGAAUACCUUGGAGGUGAGCGGAAUAUGUCAUGUAGCGGUGAAAUGCUUAGAUAUGACAUAGAACACCAAUUGUGAAGGCAGCUGGCUACACGAAUAUUGACACUGAUGCACGAAAGCGUGGGGAUCAAACAGG
rnacentral:rRNA from 1 species